AUUGAACGCUGGCGGCAUGCCUUACACAUGCAAGUCGAACGGUAACGCGGGGCAACCUGGCGACGAGUGGCGAACGGGUGAGUAAUGCAUCGGAACGUGCCCGGUAGUGGGGGAUAACUGCUCGAAAGAGCAGCUAAUACCGCAUACGACCUGAGGGUGAAAGGGGGGGAUCGCAAGACCUCUCGCUAUCGGAGCGGCCGAUGUCGGAUUAGCUAGUUGGUGGGGUAAAGGCCUACCAAGGCGACGAUCCGUAGCUGGUCUGAGAGGACGACCAGCCACACUGGGACUGAGACACGGCCCAGACUCCUACGGGAGGCAGCAGUGGGGAAUUUUGGACAAUGGACGCAAGUCUGAUCCAGCCAUGCCGCGUGCGGGAAGAAGGCCUUCGGGUUGUAAACCGCUUUUGUCAGGGAAGAAAUCUUCUGAGCUAAUACCUCGGCGUAAUGACGGUACCUGAAGAAUAAGCACCGGCUAACUACGUGCCAGCAGCCGCCGUAA
rnacentral:rRNA from 1 species